rnacentral:RNase_P_RNA from 14 species
GUAUCAGGGACCUAGAGAUUUAUAAUGUUGGGGCCUCCUGAAGCCCUAACUGGCUCUCCCCAAGUUGGAAGGUGAGUUUUCAGAGAGCAGACUAGGCAGGGGAGGUCCCAAAUGGGCAGAUAUGUACCCAGAACUUGGAAAGACUCUUGGUCAUUAAUUUUACUCAGUAAAUGGCUACCCUUCUUGCCAGAAGUGCUUGCUCCCUGUCUGAACAGAUGUAGUCUCUGAAUGGUAAAGAGAGGGUCUCCACUGACACUAUCCUGCCACACUCAACUCACUGAGAAGCAACAACUACUCCCUUCCAUAC